rnacentral:rRNA from 1 species
GACGUAGGAGGCGAGCGUUAUCCGGAUUCACUGGGCGUAAAGCGCAUGUAGGCGGAUGUCUAAGUCGUGUGUUAAAGCCCCUGGCUCAACUGGGGGAGGUCAUGCGAGACUGGAUGACUUGAGGGCAACAGAGGCACGUGGAACUCCCGGUGUAGCGGUGGAAUGCGUAGAGAUCGGGAAGAACACCAAUGGCGAAGGCAGCUCGCUGGGACGGUACUGACGCUGAGGCGCGAAAGCGUGGGGAGCAAACAGG